GCUUUCUUUGCACCUAUUGAGAUGAGUAUGUGAUUUUUGUCCUUAGUUCUACUUAUGUGAUAUAUUGUAUGUAUUGAUUUGUGAAUACUAAUCCAUCUUGCAUCACUUCAAUAAAUCCAUCUUUGUUGUGAUGUAAAAUCAUCUUAUUAUGUUGGUGAAUAUAAUUUGCUAAUGUUUUUUAAAGAAUUUUUGCAUCUAAGUUCAUCAGAGAUAUUGAUCCAUAGUGAUAUUGGUUUUGGUCUGAUGGUGAUACUGGCUCAUAGAAUGAAUUUGAAGUAUUCAUUCUCACUCUAUUUUUGGAAUAAUUUGAGGAGCAUUGGUGUGCAUUCUCCUUUAACAUUCUGGUAGAAUUCAGCUGAGAAGCAUUGUGUUCCUGGGGUUUUCUCUGUGGAUGGUGUUUUAGUCAGCAUUUUUGUUAGUGCAACCAAAAGUUGUGACAAGAACAAUUUUAGAAGAGGAAAUGUUAUUUGUUACUCAUGAUUUUAGAGAUCUCAGUCCAUCCAUGGCCCACUCCAUUGUUCUGGGCCCUAGGUCAGGCAGAACAUCAUGGUGAAAUGGAGGAAGAAAACAGCUCAGCACAUAGCAAUCAGGAGGUGGGGGGAGAGAGAGAGAGAGAGAGAGAGAGAGAGAGAGAGAGAGAGAGAGAGAGAGAGAGAGAGAGAUAUUCUUUCAUGAACCAGGAAUAUAAUAUAAGACCAAAGGAUACAUCUCCAGUGACCUAUACCAUUCAUCCACACCCUGUCUGGCUACUGUUUCUUUGAAUUAAUCCACUGCUUAGGUCAUGCUUCUCUAAUCUAAUCACUUUGCCUAUAAAAACUCCUGAAUUUUCUUACACAUAAGGUUUUGGAGACACUUCUUAUCUAAACUAUAACUGGUGGCUUUUUAUUAAUGCUUCUAACUCAUAGAUAGUUAUUGUUCUGUGUAAGUUUUCUAUGUCUUCUUGAUGUGAUUUUGGUAAGUGAUAUGUGUCUAGAAGUAUACCUAAUUUGGGCUGGGGAUAUAGUUCAGCUGGUAGAGUGCUUGUCUCCUAUACACAAGGCCCUGGGUACAAUCUCCAGAACUAUACCCUCCACCCAAUGCCCCCCCUAAAAUAGUCAAAACCUAUCAAUUU
rnacentral:lncRNA from 1 species